rnacentral:rRNA from 1 species
AUUGAACGCUGGCGGCAGGCCUAACACAUGCAAGUCGAACGGUAACAGGAAGAAGCUUGCUUCUUUGCUGACGAGUGGCGGACGGGUGAGUAAUGUCUGGGAAACUGCCUGAUGGAGGGGGAUAACUACUGGAAACGGUAGCUAAUACCGCAUAACGUCGCAAGACCAAAAAGGGGGACCUUCGGGCCUCUUGCCAUCGGAUGUGCCCAGAUGGGAUUAGCUAGUAGGUGGGGUAACGGCUCACCUAGGCGACGAUCCCUAGCUGGUCUGAGAGGAUGACCAGCCACACUGGAACUGAGACACGGUCCAGACUCCUACGGGAGGCAGCAGUGGGGAAUAUUGCACAAUGGGCGCAAGCCUGAUGCAACCAUGCCGCGUGUAUGAAGAAGGCCUUCGGGUUGUAAAGUACUUUCAGCGGGGAGGAAGGGAGUAAAGUUAAUACCUUUGCUCAUUGACGUUACCCGCAGAAGAAGCACCGGCUAACUCCGUG